rnacentral:rRNA from 1 species
GACGAACGCUGGCGGCGUGCUUAACACAUGCAAGUCGAACGGGAUAAUCUGAGCGCUUGCUCUUAGAGAAUCUAGUGGCAAACGGGUGAGUCACACGUAGACAACCUGCCGACGGGAUGGGGACAACAUUCCGAAAGGAAUGCUAAUACCGAAUGAAGCGGAGGAGAGGCGUCUCUCCUCCGUGUAAGAUGGCCUCUGAAUAUGCUAUCACCUGUCGCUGGGUCUGAGUCUGAUUCGCUAGGUGGGGAGAUAACGGCUCACCAAGGCGACGGUCGGUAGCCGGCCUCAGAGGCUGCACGGCCUCGUUGGGACUGGGGCACGGCCCGCACUCCUGCGGGUGGCAGCCGUGGCGAAUCCCUCGCAAUGGGCGCAAGCCUGACGGAGCGACGCCGCGUGAGUGCAUGAGGUCUUCGGAUCGUAAAGCUCUGUUGGCGGUGAGGAUCGUGCGACUGGUGAAUACGCCUUUGUAAUGACGGUACCUGUCGAGGAAGCCCCGGCUAACUACGUG